UAGGGAAUCUUCGGCAAUGGGGGGAACCCUGACCGAGCAACGCCGCGUGAGUGAAGAAGGUUUUCGGAUCGUAAAGCUCUGUUGUUAAGGAAGAACGAGUGUGAGAAUGGAAAGUUCAUACUGUGACGGUACUUAACCAGAAAGGGACGGCUAACUACGUGCCAGCAGCCGCGGUAAUACGUAGGUCCCGAGCGUUGUCCGGAUUUAUUGGGCGUAAAGCGAGCGCAGGCGGUUAGAUAAGUCUGAAGUUAAAGGCAGUGGCUCAACCAUUGUAGGCUUUGGAAACUGUUUAACUUGAGUGCAGAAGGGGAGAGUGGAAUUCCAUGUGUAGCGGUGAAAUGUGUAGAUAUAUGGAGGAACACCGGUGGCGAAAGCGGCUCUCUGGUCUGUAACUGACGCUGAGGCUCGAAAGCGUGGGGAGCGAACAGG
rnacentral:rRNA from 1 species